rnacentral:rRNA from 1 species
GACGAACGCUGGCGGCGUGCUUAACACAUGCAAGUCGAACGGAAAGGCCCUGCUUUUGUGGGGUGCUCGAGUGGCGAACGGGUGAGUAACACGGGAGUAACCUGCCCUGGACGUGGGGAUAACUUCAGGAAACUGGGGCUAAUACCGGAUAGGAGCUCCUGCCGCAUGGUGGGGGUUGGAAAGUUUCGGCGGUUGGGGAUGGACUCGCGGCUUAUCAGCUUGUUGGUGGGGUAGUGGCUUACCAAGGCUUUGACGGGUAGCCGGCCUGAGAGGGUGACCGGCCACAUUGGGACUGAGAUACGGCCCAGACUCCUACGGGAGGCAGCAGUGGGGAAUAUUGCACAAUGGGCGGAAGCCUGAUGCAGCAGCGCCGCGUGCGGGAUGACGGCCUUCGGGCUGUAAACCGCUUUCGCUUGUGACGAAGCGUGAGUGACGGUAAUGGGUAAAGAAGCACCGGCUAACUACGUG